rnacentral:rRNA from 1 species
UACAGGGGGGGCAAGCGUUGUUCGGAAUUACUGGGCGUAAAGGGCUCGUAGGCGGCCAACUAAGUCACACGUGAAAUCCCCAGGCUUAACCUGGGAACUGCGUCCGAUACUGGAAGGCUUGAAUCCGGGAGAGGGAUGCGGAAUUCCAGGUGUAGCGGUGAAAUGCGUAGAGAUCCGGAAGAACACCGGUGGCGAAGGCGGCCUGCUGGGCAGUUGCUGACACUGAGGCGCGACAGCGUGGGGAGCAAACAGG